AGAGAGCAUGACGGUCUUCCGGCGACCAACUACAUAAAAGACAGAGCGACCAAGCACAAUUAUCAGUCGCCACAAACAGCUGAUCGACUCGAAGUCCCGAGCCACCUCGACGUCCGCCAUACCGUACCUAUCCAGAACCGCAAGGUACUAAAGCAUACAGAAAUGAAUUCCCAAAAGAUCACCAUUACCCUCAUCAUGGUAGUUUUAUUAUGCUGCCAGGCAGUAUUAGCUGCCCCAUUCAAAGCAAUGUCUGAGGAAAGAUCGAAUUCUGGUCAAUUGCUGAGAUCAAUCAGCGAUGCUGUCUCCAGCAUCGCAGAAGAAGAUAUGGCACCACUAUCCCGAAACAGAAGGUAUGUGGUCAUUCAAGUUAUGGGAAAACUUGCUCAGGACGAUCGCCAAUACCGAACUCGACUACACCCUCGCCAUCACCGCUUUCAUCAUCGUCACCGACAAACUCAAAACCAUAUUAAGAAGCAAUGAAAGGAAUGAUUGAUAUGUGCUUCUGGAUGGUCAAAUGACCAUCAUUGUUUUCCAUGACGUGACGUUGAUCUAGUGGUGACGGUAUCGAAAUAAAUGGCAAAAAUAAAAGAUAUUGAAACAAU